GAUCCUGGCUCAGAACCGAACGCUGGCGGCAGGCUUAACACAUGCAAGUCGAGCGCCCUUUUAGGGGGAGCGGCAGACGGGUGAGUAACGGCGUGGGAAUCUNCCUUUUUGCUACGGAAUAACGCAGGGAAAACUUGUGCUAAUACCGUAUGUGUCCUUCGGGAGAAAGAUUUAUCGGCAAGAGAUGAGCCCGCGUUGGAUUAGCUAGUUGGUGGGGUAAAGGCCUACCAAGGCGACGAUCCAUAGCUGGUCUGAGAGGAUGAUCAGCCCACAUUGGGACUGAGACACGGCCCAAACUCCUACGGGAGGCAGCAGUGGGGAAUAUUGGACAAUGGGCGCAAGCCUGAUCCAGCCAUGCCGCGUGAGUGAUGAAGGCCCUAGGGUUGUAAAGCUCUUUCACCGGAGAAGAUAAUGACGGUACCGGAGAAAAGCAGGGC
rnacentral:rRNA from 1 species